rnacentral:rRNA from 1 species
AGAGUUUGAUCCUGGCUCAGGAUGAACGCUGGCGGCGUGCCUAACACAUGCAAGUCGAGCGAUCUUCUUCGGAAGAGAGCGGCGGACGGGUGAGUAACGCGUGGGUAACCUGCCCUGUACACACGGAUAACAUACCGAAAGGUAUGCUAAUACGAGAUAAUAUACUUUUAUCGCAUGGUAGAAGUAUCAAAGCUCCGGCGGUACAGGAUGGACCCGCGUCUGAUUAGCUAGUUGGUAAGGUAACGGCUUACCAAGGCGACGAUCAGUAGCCGACCUGAGAGGGUGAUCGGCCACAUUGGAACUGAGACACGGUCCAAACUCCUACGGGAGGCAGCAGUGGGGAAUAUUGCACAAUGGGCGAAAGCCUGAUGCAGCAACGCCGCGUGAGCGAUGAAGGCCUUCGGGUCGUAAAGCUCUGUCCUCAAGGAAGAUAAUGACGGUACUUGAGGAGGAAGCCCCGGCUAACUACGUGCCAGCAGCCGCGGUAAUACGUAGGGGGCUAGCGUUAUCCGGAAUUACUGGGCGUAAAGGGUGCGUAGGUGGUUUCUUAAGUCAGAGGUGAAAGGCUACGGCUCAACCGUAGUAAGCCUUUGAAACUGGGAAACUUGAGUGCAGGAGAGGAGAGUGGAAUUCCUAGUGUAGCGGUGAAAUGCGUAGAUAUUAGGAGGAACACCAGUUGCGAAGGCGGCUCUCUGGACUGUAACUGACACUGAGGCACGAAAGCGUGGGGAGCAAACAGGAUUAGAUACCCUGGUAGUCCACGCCGUAAACGAUGAGUACUAGCUGUCGGAGGUUACCCCCUUCGGUGGCGCAGCUAACGCAUUAAGUACUCCGCCUGGGAAGUACGCUCGCAAGAGUGAAACUCAAAGGAAUUGACGGGGACCC